CAGUAGCCGCGGGAAUACGGAGGGGGCUAGCGUUGUUCGGAAUUACUGGGCGUAAAGCGCACGUAGGCGGCUUGGUAAGUUAGAGGUGAAAGCCUGGAGCUCAACUCCAGAAUUGCCUUUAAGACUGCCGAGCUAGCAGGUGAGAGAGGUAAGUGGAAUUCCGAGUGUAGAGGUGAAAUUCGUAGAUAUUCGGAAGAACACCAGUGGCGAAGGCGGCUUACUGGCUCAUACUGGACGCUGAGGUGCGAAAGCGUGGGGAGCAAACAGGAUUAGAUACCCCUGUAGUCCCUGUCUCUUAUAA
rnacentral:rRNA from 1 species